rnacentral:antisense_RNA from 1 species
UUCAAUGGGCGGGCGGUGGUUUGAGAGACCUUCGGGUCUGCCGGUCCUGGCCGGUCUGCAAACUUGGACCACUUGCCCGCUCACCCCA